rnacentral:rRNA from 1 species
UGGGGAAUAUUGCACAAUGGGCGAAAGCCUGAUGCAGCAACGCCGCGUGAGGGACGACGGCCUUCGGGUUGUAAACCUCUUUUAGCAAGGAAGAAGCGAAAGUGACGGUACUUGCAGAAAAAGCGCCGGCUAACUACGUGCCAGCAGCCGCGGUAAUACGUAGGGCGCAAGCGUUAUCCGGAAUUAUUGGGCGUAAAGAGCUCGUAGGCGGUUUGUCGCGUCUGCUGUGAAAACCCGAGGCUCAACCUCGGGCCUGCAGUGGGUACGGGCAGACUAGAGUGUGGUAGGGGAGAUUGGAACUCCUGGUGUAGCGGUGGAAUGCGCAGAUAUCAGGAAGAACACCGAUGGCGAAGGCAGAUCUCUGGGCCGUAACUGACGCUGAGGAGCGAAAGGGUGGGGAGCAAACAGGCUUAGAUACCCUGGUAGUCCACCCCGUAAACGUUGGGAACUAGUUGUGGGUCCAUUCCACGGAUUCCGUGACGCAGCUAACGCAUUAAGUUCCCCGCCUGGGGAGUACGGCCGCAAGGCUAAAACUCAAAGGAAUUGACGGGGUCAUAGCUGUUUCC